AUUGAACGCUAGCGGCAUGCCUAACACAUGCAAGUCGAACGAGUGGCGGACGGGUGAGUAAUGUCUGGGAAACUGCCCGAUGGAGGGGGAUAACUACUGGAAACGGUAGCUAAUACCGCAUACCAUCGGAUGUGCCCAGAUGGGAUUAGCUAGUUGGUGGGGUAACGGCUCACCUAGGCGACGAUCCCUAGCUGGUCUGAGAGGAUGACCAGCCACACUGGGACUGAGACACGGUCCAGACUCCUACGGGAGGCAGCAGGUGGGAAUCUUGCACAAUGGGCGAAAGCCUGAUGCAGCCAUGCCGCGUGUAUGAAGAAGGCCUUCGGGUUGUAAAGUACUUUCAGCGGGGAGGCGUGACUCGCAGAAGAAGCACCGGCUAACUCCGUGCCAGCAGCCGCGGUAAUUC
rnacentral:rRNA from 1 species